rnacentral:rRNA from 1 species
GUGAGGAAUAUUGCGCAAUGGAGGCAACUCUGACGCAGCCAUGCCGCGUGCAGGAAGAAGGCGCUACGCGUUGUAAACUGCUUUUAACCGGGAAGAAACCCCAGGACGUGUCCUGGGUUGACGGUACCGGAGGAAUAAGCACCGGCUAACUUCGUGCCAGCAGCCGCGGUAAUACGAAGGGUGCAAGCGUUAUCCGGAUUCAUUGGGUUUAAAGGGUGCGUAGGCGGAGCGUUAAGUCAGUGGUGAAAUCCUGCAGUUUAACUGUAGACUUGCCAUUCAUACUGGCGCUCUUGAGUGCGCUUGAAGUGGGCGGAAUGUGCCGUGUAGCGGUGAAAUGCUUAGAUAUGGCACAGAACACCAAUUGCGAAGGCAGCUCACUAAGGCGAUACUGACGCUGAGGCACGAAAGCGUGGGGAUCGAACAGGAUUAGAUACCCGGGUAGUCC